GUGCUCGCUUCGGCAUCACAUAUACUAAAAUUGGUAUGAUACAGAGAAGAUUAGCAUGGCCCCUGUGCAAGGAAGGGAGGGAACUUUAGACCUAGAGGUCUCUCAUUAUUUU